UACGAAGGGGGCGAGCGUUGUUCGGAUUUACUGGGCGUAAAGGGCGCGCAGGCGGCCACAUUUGUCAGGCGUGAAAGCCCCGGGCUUAACCUGGGAACUGCCUUUGAUACUGGUAGUCUCGAGUCCGGAAGAGGUGAGUGGAAUUCCGAGUGUAGAGGUGAAAUUCGUAGAUAUUCGGAGGAACACCAGUGGCGAAGGCGGCUCACUGGUCCGGUACUGACGCUGAGGUGCGAAAGCGUGGGGAGCAAACAGG
rnacentral:rRNA from 1 species